UACGGAGGGAGCUAGCGUUGUUCGGAAUUACUGGGCGUAAAGCGCGCGUAGGCGGCUAUUCAAGUCAGAGGUGAAAGCCUGGAGCUCAACUCCAGAACUGCCUUUGAAACUAGAUAGCUUGAAUCCAGGAGAGGUGAGUGGAAUUCCGAGUGUAGAGGUGAAAUUCGUAGAUAUUCGGAAGAACACCAGUGGCGAAGGCGGCUCACUGGACUGGUAUUGACGCUGAGGUGCGAAAGCGUGGGGAGCAAACAGG
rnacentral:rRNA from 1 species